AUCAAGCAGACGAGUCUCAAACAGGACGAAACGUGCGUCUUAUAU
rnacentral:hammerhead_ribozyme from 1 species